UUGGGCAUUCUAAUUAGUCAUGUGCUUAGUCGCUUAAUAAGCAAUUCAACAAUAGAAGAUUGUCUAAUUGCAUUGUGUCAGUGGUGAACAAGCAUGUUAGAAAGACAGUGGCAACUGGAAGGAUAAGCUACUAAGGUUCUUCUAAAAAAACUAAAUGGAACUUACAGCAUUUCUUGCAUCAGAUGGAUGAGACUCUGGCAGUCCCUGCAAUGAUGUUUCAGGUAAUUCAUCUUAUUCAAGAAGUUGAUUGUUGAAAGCUAGUUACGUUUGGUACAUACCAUUUUGUUUGGUAAGGUAUCCUGUUUAGGAGUUGUUCCUUGUUCUAAACUACUCUUCUACAUAGAAAGACAAUCGUUAGGAUUUACUGAAAAAAUAGGAGAUGUUCAAUUGUCUACUGUAAAUUUAUCCCCUUUGGUUUUGCUUGACAUACCUCAUUUUCUCCACCACCUAGUGUUGGAAGACCAUAGUGAACCAAAUAUUCUGAGUCAACAACCCCAACAUUAGUGGUUCGGUUCCCCUAUCAAAAAUAGUUACAGAUCAAACAGGAGAGCAGACGUUUUUUUUUUUUGAAUUGAUGAUUAUUUCUGAAAAAAGUAACUACUGGUGCAGGAGCUGAUACCUGCGCACAAUAUCCAAGCUGAAAGUCCACCCCCCAUGCAUGAACAAAGUCAUUCUGUAAUAUCAAACUUGCCAAUUGAAUAAGGAAUUUGGUGUACGACUAGUGUGUUAAGAUCUGAAAGCAUACCUGAAUUAUGUACCAUGCACAGCGCCACGAUGCUCUUGAAAAAACAGGAGCCAUCAUUUCCACCCACCUACAUGUGAAUUCAGAAUUCAAAGAUGGAUAGGAAAGAUGUGAAAUGAAACACAAUUCUUUCUGGCCAAUAAUAUAAUAUUACCCAGUGCAUGGAGGUUCAGUACUGUCUCCGUAGCACCUCCUUCCAGGACCCUUUAUGUUUAUUGUCCUCCUGUUUCAACCAUAAGAGUACAUCCUUUCAAGAAGAUCCAACUUAUAACUGAUAAAACCAGUCACUGAUCAUGAAAGUAAUAAUACUACCUGUGCACUCUUGACCCUUCUUGUCGCGCUGUAAGUUUGUGGUGAAUUUCUGAAAUAUCUGCAUCGAUUGCUGGCUGUGAUAUAUGAAGACCUUCUUCUUUUAUUAUUGAUAAAUAUCUGUAUGCAGGUGGAGAUUAAUUUUCUGGUUGACAUUUCAUGGAUCUUAGUAUGAAGAUAUAUCUUUUUAUUACCGCCCAGCAUUGAAAUUUUCGACUCCAAGAUCUUCAUCCCAGAGGAAUAUG
rnacentral:lncRNA from 1 species